rnacentral:rRNA from 1 species
GACGAACCGUGCGAACGUUAUUCGGAAUUACUGGGCGUAAAGCGUGCGUAGGUGGUUUGUUAAGUCUGCUGUGAAAGCCCCGGGCUCAACCUGGGAAUGGCAGUGGAUACUGGCAAGCUAGAGUGCGGUAGAGGGUAGUGGAAUUCCCGGUGUAGCGGUGAAAUGCGUAGAGAUCGGGAGGAACACCAGUGGCGAAGGCGGCUACCUGGACCAGCACUGACACUGAGGCACGAAAGCGUGGGGAGCAAACAGG